AGAGUUUGAUCAUGGCUCAGAUUGAACGCUGGCGGCAGGCUUAACACAUGCAAGUCGAACGGUAACAUAAAGAAGCUUGCUUCUUUGAUGACGAGUGGCGGACGGGUGAGUAAUGCUUGGGAAUCUAGCUUAUGGAGGGGGAUAACUACGGGAAACUGUAGCUAAUACCGCGUAGAAUCGAGAGAUGAAAGUGUGGGACCUUCGGGCCACAUGCCAUAGGAUGAGCCCAAGUGGGAUUAGGUAGUUGGUGAGGUAAAGGCUCACCAAGCCGACGAUCUCUAGCUGGUCUGAGAGGAUGACCAGCCACACUGGGACUGAGACACGGCCCAGACUCCUACGGGAGGCAGCAGUGGGGAAUAUUGCGCAAUGGGGGCAACCCUGACGCAGCCAUGCCGCGUGAAUGAAGAAGGCCUUCGGGUUGUAAAGUUCUUUCGGUAGCGAGGAAGGCAUUUAGUUUAAUAGACUAGGUGAUUGACGUUAACUACAGAAGAAGCACCGGCUAACUCCGUGCCAGCAGCCGCGGUAAUACGGAGGGUGCGAGCGUUAAUCGGAAUAACUGGGCGUAAAGGGCACGCAGGCGGUACUGUAAGUGAGGUGUGAAAGCCCCGGGCUUAACCUGGGAAUUGCAUUUCAUACUGGGUCGCUAGAGUACUUUAGGGAGGGGUAGAAUUCCACGUGUAGCGGUGAAAUGCGUAGAGAUGUGGAGGAAUACCGAAGGCGAAGGCAGCCCCUUGGGAAUGUACUGACGCUCAUGUGCGAAAGCGUGGGGAGCAAACAGGAUUAGAUACCCUGGUAGUCCACGCUGUAAACGAUGUCGAUUUGGGGGUUGAGCUUUAAGCUUGGCGCCCGUAGCUAACGUGAUAAAUCGACCGCCUGGGGAGUACGGCCGCAAGGUUAAAACUCAAAUGAAUUGACGGGGGCCCGCACAAGCGGUGGAGCAUGUGGUUUAAUUCGAUGCAACGCGAAGAACCUUACCUGGUCUUGACAUCCACGGAAGUUUUCAGAGAUGAGAAUGUGCCUUCGGGAACCGUGAGACAGGUGCUGCAUGGCUGUCGUCAGCUCGUGUUGUGAAAUGUUGGGUUAAGUCCCGCAACGAGCGCAACCCUUAUCCUUUGUUGCCAGCGGUCCGGCCGGGAACUCAAAGGAGACUGCCAGUGAUAAACUGGAGGAAGGUGGGGAUGACGUC
rnacentral:rRNA from 1 species